UGGGGAAUAUUGGACAAUGGGCGAAAGCCUGAUCCAGCCAUGCCGCGUGUGUGAAGAAGGCCUUUUGGUUGUAAAGCACUUUAAGCGAGGAGGAGGCUACUUGGAUUAAUACUCUAGGAUAGUGGACGUUACUCGCAGAAUAAGCACCGGCUAACUCUGUGCCAGCAGCCGCGGUAAUACAGAGGGUGCGAGCGUUAAUCGGAUUUACUGGGCGUAAAGCGUGCGUAGGCGGCUUCUUAAGUCGGAUGUGAAAUCCCUGAGCUUAACUUAGGAAUUGCAUUCGAUACUGGGAAGCUAGAGUAUGGGAGAGGAUGGUAGAAUGCCAGGUGUAGCGGUGAAAUGCGUAGAGAUCUGGAGGAAUACCGAUGGCGAAGGCAGCCAUCUGGCCUAAUACUGACGCUGAGGUACGAAAGCAUGGGGAGCAAACAGG
rnacentral:rRNA from 1 species